UCCCUGCAGCUCCGGAGCGCUUGGCAGCUGCCCCAGUCGUGCCCGCACCUGGGAGGCCUCUGCGUUCACGCGACUUGCAGCUGUGAGAGCUUUCAAACACCUUUGAGCGGGCAGGAGCGGAUCUGUCCUUGAAGGCAGCUUUCUUCGCUGGCUGUCCCGGUUCUUGUGUGGGAGACAAGGUCACCAUCAGAAUCCAAGUCGAAUGCUUCCUUGUGAUGGGACACCUUCCCAGAAGAGUAACAGUCCAAACUGUGAAACACUGGCUGAGAAGAGCUGGAAAAGAUGGCCUGACUGGCUUUAUGCCACAAGUGCUGUACUCCAACUGACAUGCUCUCCUGGCGAACCUGGCAGCUGCUUGCUCCCUCAACCUUCCCAUCAGGAUUUUUUGAAAGCAAGUAAUGGUUAGGUAAUGGUUAGUUGUUGAAGAUACAGCUCAAGUGGAGAAAAAAAAAGACCAUCUCUUCUUGAACACGACUUACCAUCCUAAGGUCAACGCCAGAGAUGCUUUCCCUUCAUGUAACUAGUCACUAGGUAAAGGAGGAGCAGAGCAUUCAGCACACAACUGCAUAAGCAGCCCAGCACCCUCUACAAGGUACUGACAGAAGGCCUGAAAAUUAGUAUAUCCAAGCUACACCCCCAGUAGAAAUAAAAAUAAUUUUUCAGUUAAUUGGACCUUAAUG
rnacentral:lncRNA from 1 species